rnacentral:lncRNA from 1 species
UGUGGCGUACAAGUCUAAUACUGUAUCCCAUUGCACUGGUAUAAAUAGUGAACUAGGGCCAAUGAAGUUUUUAUAUCACCCCCUUUGUAUAGAAGUAAGAGAAAGGUUACAGAGCAACCAUGGCUUUCUAUUUCUCAGCGAGAAUUAUGUUAGCAACCCUAAUGAUCGUCAUCUUCACCCAGCAGUUGCACCUGGUUUCAACUCAUGCCGCCGCAGGUAUGUAACCUUUGUUUUCAAACUAGCAUGUCCUUAUAAUUUGCCAAUACAUUAUGGCGGUAUUUGGCUGCGUGGUAUUUUUAACUUAUAAGCAGCUUAAAUGAUGUACUUGUCAUUUGCAGAUGAAAAGAUCAGGAGCAUGCAGAGCACUCUUCGCAUUACUCACAGUCCUGAAAUUGAUCGUUUGUAUUCGAGGGCAGCAUCACGACGCCUAGCGCAAAAUACAAAAGUGGUACCGCGGCCUUCUCCUCCACCGCCGGCUCACAGGCCUCCCACUUACCCAUGACAUGACUGAAAGAAAAUUGAACACCUCACGAGUGAAUAUAAAUGUAACCACAUAUAUAUGUAUUUGCUUUUAGGACUCCAAGAAGAUUGUAUUCUGAAUUUUUGUUGUAUUCUUCUGAAGCUCAUGCAUCAGCUAUAUAUUGAGGCUAUUCACAACCUCCUUUCCGUCAUUUCAGCAA